GUCCCCACAAAUAGCUCAGCUGGUAGAGCACAAGACACUUAAUUUCAAGGUUGUGGGUUUGAACCCCAUGUCGGGCA